ACGAACGCUGGCGGCGUGCUUAACCCAUGCAAGUCGAACGGAAAGGCCCUGCUUUUGUGGGGUGCUCGAGUGGCGAACGGGUGAGUAACACGUGAGUAACCUGCCCUUGACUUUUGGAUAACUUCAGGAAACUGGGGCUAAUACCGGAUAGGAGCUCCUGCUGCAUGGUGGGGGUUGGAAAGUUUCGGCGGUUGGGGAUGGACUCGCGGCUUAGCAGCUUGUUGGUGGGGUAGUGGCUUACCAAGGCUUUGACGGUUAGCCGGCCUGAGAGGGUGGCCGGCCACAUUGGAACUGAGAUACGGCCGAGACUCCGACGGGAGGCAGAAGUGGGGAAGAUGGCACAAGGGGCGGAAGCCUGAUGCAGCAACGCCGCGUGCGGGAGGACGGCCUUCGGGUUGUAAACCGCUUUCGCCUGGGACGAAGGGUGAGUGAGGGUAAUGGGUAAAGGAGCACCGGCUAACUACGU
rnacentral:rRNA from 1 species